CUUGGUACGCACUUAUAGGCAGUGUAGGGUAGCUUGCAUCUUAUGACACCCCAACUUCACUCACCAUUCUCCAAAAGUACCAAAAGUAUCCUGUAGCACCUGUGUGGACAUGUGCCAGGGAAUAUUGGCAAAAGCAGGUCCAGCAAUGUAAUCUUUCUGGCAAUUGUGAGACCAAAACUCAAACCAAGACUCCUCCACACAACACAGUGAAUCCAGGGAAGGUCUACAAGGCGGUUUGAGACUGGCACACCAUACAAAGAAGGAAAGCCCGAGAGAGCUUUGUUUGUUCAGACUGGAGAGGACACAGCUCAAGGAAGACUUUGUGCAUACAAAUAACUGUUUGGAUGAUAAAGAAAAAAUAGGAUUUUCUUAGAGAGGAAUACUGAUAGAAUGAGAGGCAAUAAACAGGUGGAACACUGAAAAUUCCCACCAAACUUUAGAAAAGAAAAAUACCACAAGGCUGGUCAAACACUGGACAAAGUUGUCUUGUGGAGCUGAAGAAUCUCCAUCUUUGCAAGACGUUCAAGACUCAGUUCAACACAGUCCUGUUUUUGAGCAGGGGUUUGGACUAGAUGAUCUUCAGAGAACCCCUCAACCUAAAUUAUGAUUCCAUGAAACUGAGAAAAACAGACAGAAAAUGUGAAAAUCCACAUAUUCAUAAUUUUAUUUUUCCCAGUAGCAGUUAUUGUUUAUCUAGAAAUCUAUGCAUAUAGGUUUGUUGAUCAUAUUGUUUGGGUAUUUUGACAACUAGUUUAUACUGUGCUUUCUCACAUCUUAUGUGCAACUCAAGGUCUUGGGACUAAAAUUAAAAAACAUUGAAAUAAAUAGUGCAGCAACUCUG